UGACGUCAAACCAUCAUGCCCCUUAUGACCUGGGCUACACACGUGCUACAAUGGGCGGUACAAAGGGUCGCGAACCCGCGAGGGGGAGCCAAUCCCAAAAAGCCGCUCUCAGUUCGGAUUGCAGGCUGCAACUCGCCUGCAUGAAGCCGGAAUCGCUAGUAAUCGCGGAUCAGCAUGCCGCGGUCGAAUACGUUCCCGGGCCUU
rnacentral:rRNA from 1 species